rnacentral:rRNA from 1 species
AAUAGAUACCCCGGUAGUCCACGCCGUAAACGAUGAGUGCUAAGUGUUAGAGGGUUUCCGCCCUUUAGUGCUGCAGCUAACGCAUUAAGCACUCCGCCUGGGGAGUACGGUCGCAAGACUGAAACUCAAAGGAAUUGACGGGGGCCCGCACAAGCGGUGGAGCAUGUGGUUUAAUUCGAAGCAACGCGAAGAACCUUACCAGGUCUUGACAUCCCACUGACCGGUAUAGAGAUAUACCUUUCCCUUCGGGGACAGUGGUGACAGGUGGUGCAUGGUUGUCGUCAGCUCGUGUCGUGAGAUGUUGGGUUAAGUCCCGCAACGAGCGCAACCCUUGAUCUUAGUUGCCAGCAUUUAGUUGGGCACUCUAAGGUGACUGCCGGUGACAAACCGGAGGAAGGUGGGGAUGACGUCAAAUCAUCAUGCCCCUUAUGACCUGGGCUACACACGUGCUACAAUGGAUGGUACAAAGGGCUGCAAGACUGCGAAGUCAAGCCAAUCCCAUAAACCAUUCUCAGUUCGGAUUGCAGG